ACAAAAGAUACUGCUGAAGUAGAGUAAACAGACUUUGGCCACUGGGUGAAUGUAAAAGAAGGACAAGAGAAAGCUGUUGAUGCCCAAGAAGAGAAAAACAUUCCACUGAAGGGUAGGAAAUGGCAGAAAAUUUGGAACCGGGGUUCUGAAUUGCAUGCUUCCCGGGAUGGCGCACCUUUCUCUUCUGACUGUCCAGUGAGGGAAGAAUGUGAUCUAGAAGGAAAGCCACAUGGAGCUUGGUUUACUUAUGAGGCCAAAACAGAAUUGCAUUUCUCAUUCCUUAAGAAACUAGAACUCUUAAGGAAUUGUUCUGAGGCUCUAACAAUAUUAACAUUUUUUGGGGACAGAGGAGCUCAUUUAAGGGAACCGUGACUGAUUAGAGAUUCCGUUUCCUCUGCCCUAACAAGGAAGACACAUUCCAGUGGAAUUUUACUCUGAACAAACUACCUCAUUGGAGCAAACAAAAUCCACCCUUCAUUCAGUCCAAGAUCAGCUUCCAUUUUCCAGGGCAACAUCACUCCAAACCUUUUUUGAUAGAAUCUACUUUUUUUUUUUUUAACUUUUGUUU
rnacentral:antisense_RNA from 1 species